rnacentral:ncRNA from 1 species
GUUAUUGCUUUGAAAAGGAGUAGUAGUAUUUUUUUCAAUUUAAGAGAGUUGUCGGUAGCUGCAAGACAAUAUUGAUAAUUUACGAACUUGCCUUUGAGCUUAUCUGUAAGAAGCAGAUACGGAUUAAACCGUUAUAUUUUUUAAAGUGAAGCUUUAAGCUUAAUUAGAGUGGUACCGCGGAAAUUACACCUUUCGUCUCUUUA